rnacentral:rRNA from 1 species
GUGAAGCGGCAACAGCUCAAAUUUGAAAUCUGGCUUCGGCCCGAGUUGUAAUUUGCAGAGGAAGCUUUAGGCGCGGCACCAUCUGAGUCCCCUGGAACGGGGCGCCAUAGAGGGUGAGAGCCCCGUAUAGAUGGACGCUAAGCCUGUGUAAAGCUCCUUCGACGAGUCGAGUAGUUUGGGAAUGCUGCUCAAAAUGGGAGGUAAAUUUCUUCUAAAGCUAAAUACCGGCCAGAGACCGAUAGCGCACAAGUAGAGUGAUCGAAAGAUGAAAAGCACUUUGAAAAGAGGGUUAAAUAGCACGUGAAAUUGUUGAAAGGGAAGCGCUUGUGACCAGACUUGCGCCGGGCUGAUCAUCCGGUGUUCUCACCGGUGCACUCUGCCCGGCUCAGGCCAGCAUCGGUUUUCGCGGGGGGAUAAAGGCCCUGGGAACGUAGCUCCUCCGGGAGUGUUAUAGCCCAGGGUGUAAUGCCCUCGCGGGGACCGAGGUUCGCGCAUCUGCAAGGAUGCUGGCGUAAUGGUCAUCAGCGACCCGUCUUGAAACACGGACCAAGGAGUCAAGGUUUUGCGCGAGUGUUUGGGUGUAAAACCCGCACGCGUAAUGAAAGUGAACGUAGGUGAGAGCUUCGGCGCAUCAUCGACCGAUCCUGAUGUUUUCGGAUGGAUUUGAGUAGGAGCGUUAAGCCUUGGACCCGAAAGAUGGUGAACUAUGCUUGGAUAGGGUGAAGCCAGAGGAAACUCUGGUGGAGGCUCGCAGCGGUUCUGACGUGCAAAUCGAUCGUCAAAUCUGAGCAUGGGG